rnacentral:lncRNA from 1 species
UGAUCUUAGUGACUGCAUAAAAUAAAUGUCUAGGCCCUCCUUCAAAAGGCCUCAUUCCUGCUCUUUCAGUCUUUCCCCACAUUUGUUCUCCCAUGUACACAGCUGCACCUCUUCUAGAGAGAGACUGCAUUUAUUACCUCCAAAUGAACUCUAUGGAUCAUUCCUUAGUUUCUACAUUUGUUGGUAAGUUUCUCUCCCACCAUAAACAGUCCUUUACUCCACAAUUUGCACUUUUAAACCCAACUCCAAUUACCCAAUAGCUCUCUCUAAAGACCAUGAUCAUUAUUAUGAUUUUCCAGUGACCCAACAGCCUAUUGCAAUGGAUCGUGAUUAUUGUUAGGAUUUCUGUCUUCCAAAAUAUGAUGUUUGUGACUAGAGCCCCACAAAUGAGUUUAAAUCUACUUAUCCUAAAAUAAUUGUUGACUCUUGCUUUAUGUGAAUUAAUCAUAUUUUUGAAAAUGUAUGUGUGAGUCUCUUGAGACCAGGCAGGGAGAACACAACUACACAACUCAAAUGUCUUUGUACCCUUGACACUGCCCAACGUAGGGUUGAACAUACUGAAAGCUCACCAUGUGUGCUGGGUGAGCUGGAUGCUGUGGGGAAAGACAAAAAAAACAAAUUAGCUUCUCCAAAGAUUUUGAGCCUAAGGAUUUCCUGGCUUGGAUUACUGUCAUUAAGGCAAACCUCUCAAUAAAAUUCAGAAGUGCUGGGUUAUUAGAGGCAUAUUACACUAUCCACAGAGGCCAAGAAGGUAAUACAAAUGUCUAAAUAAAUAGGGCAUAGGAGUGAUAGGACCUGGGUCUGAAUGGAAGACACUUGUCCUCCCUUAAAGAUUCCAAAAUCAGUUAUGGACUCCAGGCAAACAAUACAUUCAACCAUGAUCAGCAAGCAGGUUGUGACACAUAGAUGGAAGUGACCAUUAACCCAUCCAUCUCUGCAGGCUUUCAUCUCCCUGAGCAGGGAGGAUGCUAUAACCUGGGCAAAAACAGCUCUAGAACACCCAGCCAUGGACAGAGUUCCAGAAGCAAGCCACAUUAAUGUGUCUGCAUGGAAGGCGAUGUUUACAAUCCCCCCACCCUACACACACAAACACACACACACACACACACACACACACACACACCCAAGGGCCUCCCUUCCUUCCUCCCACAAUGUCAUUUAAAGAUACAGCCAACCCUGCCUUUCAUCAGCCAUGGUCUCCUCUCCUUGCAUUUCUGAUUUCUUGUCACCCAUUGCCAGAAAUAUCAAAGCUCUCCAUUUGCAAGCCAUAACCACUCGCUCACCUCCCUAAACUCCUGUGCACUUCUCAGUUAUAUUUCCAGGCAAGUGGGGAGUUGGUGAAGUUCCUCCAUCCCAGCCACUCUUCCUCCACUCUUCCUUCCCUCCCCUGUGUCACAAAAGCACUCAGUUUUCUGAGGACAGGUGACCAAACAUGUGUUGUGAAAGGAGUGAGCCGAGCCAGCAGCCUGGUGUGGGAAAUGGAGAAUGAAGAGAAAGUGGGAAAUAGACAUGUGCGUGUGGCACCUCUAGACGCAGGCUCUGCAACCUUCACAGAGGAGCAGACACCUUCUCCUACAGACUGAACCACCACAUGAGCCUCCCUUGUGAAACAGGAGGGCUUUGUGAUGCAGUCUGCAGCUUGUUCUGUCCUCUGUGAGGUGGACAUGACAAGGGUGAAGAACUGGGAGUCAUUUGGCACUAAGCCCCUGAAUGCCUAGUUGUGGAGAUGGUUGGUCUCCUUAUGCUAAUGAAGUUUAGGCCAUGUUGAGCCUUAUAUCUGUUCUGUGGGACACUGGAUAUCCCUUAUAUACCUAUGGUUCUCUUUUCAUCCUUAUCCUAAUUAUCUGGCAAAUUAGACAGAGUUACUAUGGAUUGAAGCGCAAACCUACAAGGAGCUGCUGCCGGGUAGGGAAACACUGUCACCACAAUUGAGCUAGUUUAAGCCUCAGAUAAGCUUUCAAGUUUUCAGUGUUUCUCCGUAUUAAAUCUCCCCCCACCCCAUUUUUAUACCAUACUUUCAGUUACCUUUGUAUAUUGCUUUUGUUUGGAGAACCUAUUUAAUUCCUCACCAGCUCUCCCUCCAAUGCAAUGAAAAGCCUCAAGACCCUCCCUAUUUGGCUUGAGCUGAGAAAUAGGUGCUAUAAAGUCUACCCCACUAUAUCUCAAGACUUCCCAAUAUGGGGGAUUUUUCUGAUUGAUGAGUUUUGUAAAGCAGAAGUCCUUGGGUCAUUAGAAAUGCUCACCCUUUAAUCUAUUCCACUUUUCUUCUUGUGUCAUCCCAAACUCUCUGUAGAACUUGUCAUGAGGACAGGAGGAUGAAGAAUGCAGAAUCUUGAAGUGAAUCAGAAGGGUGAAGCAGAAAAGGGAAAUGUUGGGGUGGAAAAAGGUGGAAUAUGGUAAAGGAAAUGUAGGAGAGUGUAUAAAAUGCGAUAGCUAUGGAGAAAGAGAAUGGGAAAUAUGAGUUUUUGUCUCAUUUUGGACAUGAAAAAGAAAAUGGCAUCCUAGUCUCACAUUCUCAUGUUUUUUUGUCUUCAAGCAUCAUCGAAAAGUCAGGCAAAGGAAAAAAGAUGCAGCGUCAAGAGGUAAAGUCCCAAACUCUCAUUUGACUCCCACUGUGGGCUAGCUUCCUAUAUAGUAUCUGUCGCUCUACCCCUGGUACCAGGAUCCAGGUGUUCUAAUCUCUGAAGGCUCCAAUUUCCCCCAAAUUGAUGACUUUCACAGAGGACUUCCAUGGGUGGGAAAUCUGAACAUGGGAAUGUUCCAAAAUUCACUACCUUAUGACCCUGAGAAAAAUCAUUGAAGAAGUAAGGCAGAUGU